AGGAGAAACUUGGAGUGAAGCAGGGCUGCUAACUUUGUUUUGGGUAAUUCGAUUUUAUCCUUUUCCUU
rnacentral:tRNA from 1 species